rnacentral:lncRNA from 1 species
AUGCUGUGUAAACAGCAACGCAACGGCAACAGCAGCACCUGCCUUUCUGGCUGGGGUUUCCAAAGGAGCUGGCAGGUGAUGUGCAGGGCACUGCAGUUUCCCUGUCCUUGCCACCACACAGCUGGAGCAGCUCUGGUGACUGAAAUUGAAGAAAAUCUCUGCUACGAUUGUAGAGCAAGCAUUUGGGGAAGUUAUCAGCCUGCUGUGACAGCAACCCAGGAGCUGCCUGCCACGAGCCUGGCCCCGUCCAACCCCACGUCCACCACGGCCUCUGCUCCCGGAGAAGUGCUUCCACAUGCAGCUUACGGCCAACACUGUGAUAUAUACAUGUACACCGUGGUGCUCUCCAGGUACGUGGGGCAGGUGGAUGGAGGAGAUGGCAUUUUGAAGGAGGAGACACCUCCCUGCCAGGGCUGCUGCCUCAGGGUCACAGGGCAAGAAGUUCAGGUGCCCUGGUGGGGUGCUGGGGGACACGGUGUGAUGAGACAGCCUGUCCCUUGGGGUCAUGUCCCCUGGCCUGGCCAGGUAAAGCGUCUUCAUCACAUAGGUGCCAGGAGAUGGUUUCAGCGUGGUGUUGGGUGUGUGAUGGGACAACCUCAGCUCCACAUGAAGCGGGGUCACCUGCAGACAGAGCUUCAGGGAGCUUCGUGGAGUCUCCUACCUGGCCCUCAGCUGGCUGGGUUUUGUCUGCAGUUCUGGCUUACAGCAGCAAGGCUUUCCCUUGCUGCACCCGCUGCUGCCUCCCCAUGUGCCCACGCACCCCACACACACCUCGCCCCCCGAGCCUGCCCCACUCUGCCCUCCCCUCUGCUCCUACCCUGCAGCUGCUUCAUCACCCAGAAAUGCGGGGGAGGCUUCAUUCCUGCGCAAAGUGCUCCGAGCGUGUCUCCUGCUCCCCCCUUGCCUGGUUUCCCCCGGCUUCUCCUUCCUGUCCUCCCACCCCUGCUCCAGCUUCCUGCCCUUUGA